rnacentral:rRNA from 1 species
UGGCCAGACUCCUACGGGAGGCAGCAGUGGGGAAUAUUGGGCAAUGGACGCAAGUCUGACCCAGCAACGCCGCGUGAGUGAAGAAGUAUUUCGGUAUGUAAAGCUCUAUCAGCAGGGAAGAAAAUGACGGUACCUGACUAAGAAGCCCCGGCUAACUACGUGCCAGCAGCCGCGGUAAUACGUAGGGGGCAAGCGUUAUCCGGAUUUACUGGGUGUAAAGGGAGCGUAGACGGUCCUGCAAGCCAGAUGUGAAAGCCCGGGGCUCAACCCCGGGACUGCAUUUGGAACUGUGCUGCUAGAGUGUCGGAGAGGCAGGCGGAAUUCCUAGUGUAGCGGUGAAAUGCGUAGAUAUUAGGAGGAACACCAGUGGCGAAGGCGGCCUGCUGGACGAUGACUGACGUUGAGGCUCGAAAGCGUGGGGAGCAAACAGGAUUAGAUACCCCGGUAC